GGCCCCGCGGGGAAAGAUGCGCUGUGGUCUGCCGGAUCAGCGCCCUGUCCCCGGGAGGCGGCCCGGGAGGAGAUGCUUUAGAGGGAAGGGAACGCUCGGAGUACCCCGGGGCCGGUGCGGUGCCCCCCCGGUGCCGGCGGGAGGCGGCUGCUGCCAGCGCUGGCCGAGCCGCUGCCCCACCCGGGCGGCUGCCCGCCGGCGGCGGUGCCUGCCCCACGCGGCUCCGGGGCCCGGCCGGGCGGCGGGCCGCGCGCUGCCUGCCGUGACGGGCCCGGCGCGCGGCGGCGGGAUUGGCUGUCCCCGGACGGCGGGGCCGGCGCAGCCGCGGGCGGGUGCGCGGGGCGGCGGCGGCGGGGCGGGAGGCGCGCGCACAGGCGGCAGGCUGCACGCACACGCGGCGCCCCGACGGCGGCAGCGACCGCGGGCGGGGGAGCUCGGCCCUCGGAGGGGCGCAGCUGCCGCCUCCAGCGCCCGGCUUAUCGCUACCUUUUUGGGUUUUUUUCUUUUUUUUUUUUACUUUUUUUCUUUUUUUUUCCCUCUUUAUUAUUUUUUUUUUCCUUCCCUCCCAGGACUGGCAGCGGGAUCCGCGUCCCUGACAUUGCUAUGCCAACUGAACUCUGCCGGGCCGUGAGAAUGCACGCCAUCUCCGACCUCCACUCCUCCCUCACCCUGCGACUCCUCAACAAGGGGCCCGAGUACCUCCGCAGGCAGAUGGAGGCAGGCAACCCGGGCAGGAAAAGUGCCGUGGAGAGGCUGGCAGCCGAUAAGGCCAAAUACGUCAAAAGCCAGCAGGUAAUCAGCACCAAGCAGCAACCCGUCAUCGUGUUUAGCUCAGCCUCAGAGAGCAGCAGCGAGACCUGUUCGGUGGAGAGCAAAAAAAUCAGCAGGGACUUUGGCAGAGGGAUGGGCACGAAGCCCCUGGAGCUGGCGAAGGCGGUGUACUCCUGCCGUGCCCCCCUGCAGCACGGCUCCCCCAUAGCCAGGCGCAGCACCCCCAAAAGGCAGAUGCGGCCGGAUUCCCUGGUGAUUUACCGCCAGAAAUGCGAGCUUGGGAGAGGUCAAAGCCAGGACAGCUCACGGGGGAGUUUGAUGAGGAGGAUCUUCCAAGGGUCUGUAAAGGAGAAGCAGUUGGCUUCCCCUGAGAUGCCCAGAGUCAUGGAGGACACCGCAGCCACUGAGAGCAAAGAGCAUCUCUCAGCAAAACACAGUGACCAUGAGCCGAGCAACCACGGAGCGGAGCAAACUGUCACUGUGAGCACCGAAGCCCCAGGGGUGUGUACAAAAGAGCAUGAGAGACCUGCAAAACUGCAUAUACCUCCUGAGGAGGUCGAGGAGGUCAAGGAGGUGAAGAGGAGAGGUCUCCAUCGCUCCCAGUCGGACAUCAGCUCUCGCUACUCCAAGUCCUUCUCCGAGUUUGAUACAUUUUUCAAGUACUGUGGCCUGGAGCAGGAGGUCAUCGAGGAUCUCGGGAGAGAGAACUUUUCCAUCGUGUCCGACAACGUCUCCUUCAAGAUCCGCAGCAUCAGCGUGGCAACGUCCGAGAGCGACUUCACGAGGCACAGCGGGGACGAGGGGCUGCUGGAGGAUGAGCUCACAGAGCAGGUCCCGAGCAGCACCUCCGUGAUCGAGCGCAACGCUCGGAUAAUCAAAUGGCUGUACACGUGUAAGAAAGCCAAGGAGAAUAACAAGGUGAUCCAGGAACUGUCAUGAUGGCUUCUUUCCGCAUGCAUUGCAGCCUGGUGAACUCAAGAAUCCUUGACUUGGAAGUUGAACAAAACCAGACACAGGAAGAAACUCUUCCCUCAUCUGGCUCAUGACUACUUUGUCCAAGUUUAGUACUUUAUUAUUGCCUCCUACCCUCACCCCCGUCUCCGGGCAGCCUCACUCUUGUUACAAGCACGGGGGUGUCCAAGAGUGCGAUGACAAGUGGAGACUGUGAACUGUGCCCCAGCGAGGCAGCAGGAAACAAAACUCCUGGAAAAGGGAAGUGUGGCAGCAGCUGCCAUCCACGAUAAUAUUCAGCAUCAGCUCAUCGCCCCAGGAUGCCCUUCCGGGCUGUGACAGAAGGUCUGUGUUGUGCACCCGUCUCUUUCCAGCAAUGAAUUUGUCGACAGGGAUGGGGGGAGAAAAUGGGAAUGAAGUGGCAAUGACCUCUGGGUCAGGCAUUUCCUUGCAGGCAGACAGGCUCCGCCCGGAUGUUCAAAGGCUCUGUCUUACCAGGGAUGUUUGACCAGGGCUCGUCCUCACAUCAUUGGAUGUUAUUUGCUUGGCUGGUGAGGACUAACUGUGGCAGCUUUAUCUAGGAUACUUGGCAAAUAUGUUGUAAGCUAAAUCCCUGCCAAGCCUCUCUUUCUCUGAGAGUAUUCAAGCCAAAUUGGAGUACCUUGUAUCCAUCUAGUUUGCUCUGUCACACAGCUUGCUCAGCCAGUGGGGAGGAAUAGCCUUUAAAACUCUGCCCAAAAUAUUUUCAAGAGCAUGGUUCCAAAAAACAAGUAGUCCAAAAUGAGGGGUGGUUUUGUAUUGCUACUGCCUUGCUGUAGAAUGGUACAAUUCACAUUGUACUUAUGUUCCUCCGCUUUGUUUGCAAUAUGUCUCCAACUCUGACAAACAUUGCAAGGUUUGGCAGCUUGUGGUUUAACACCUUUAAUUUUAUGCACUGUGAGUGAGCAGUGGGCUUACAGAAUGACAUUAGGAAACUCUAUCACGGGCCAUGUAAAGCCACGCUUCCCUGGCGUGGGUCUGGAGUGGGGCUGUGCUUGGGGUGUGCAGGACAGCAUCCCUGCGCUGCAAGGCAAGAAGGCAUGUUAGGGCACAGCCGUGCCAGGUAAAUAUCCUGAUGGGGUGAGACACCCAUUGUGGGCAGCACCUUACUCAAUAUCAUCAAUAAAAUGCUUCAUUUGGACUAGCCGAGCUAAAUGUGUUUUAAAAGCUGAUAAAAAGUACUUUAGAUGAUCAGUGUAGUGAAUGGGGCCUCUACAAUAACUCAUGGAAUUUGCUGGCUGUGCCUCAAACAUUUACCCUGAUCUGUCAUCGCUUGCUAGAAAAUGUCCUACACCAAAGCAUUUCUUUGUGGACAUUGCAAACCCCCCCUUGCAAAAAAAAUGUCAGAAGCCCUCAAUCAAAGCCAAAGCCAGUUCCCCUUUCAGUCGCACCCAUGCCCAUCUGUGAGAGCUGCCCCGCUGGCAUAACGGUGACUCGACCCGAGGGUCCUGCAGAGGUUAAAAGUUUACUUUGUGUUACCACGAAUGUGGUGUCCGGCUUAUCUGGCCACCAGACCUGCAGUGUGAGGAGUGCAGAAACACCACCCUUCGUUCCUCGCGUUCCUCCUGCCUGCACCGCAGCAGCUAGCCCCGCUGCCUCUCCUGGCCCAAAACAGCUGCUGGCACAGCCGGGCGACUGCAGAGCUCGGGUGAGCACUUGAGCUGUGUUUCUUGAGUGUUUGCUCCUCUCGGUAAAUACAUCUGGAGGAGCGGAAAGGGUGAGCGGCGACCAUUCAAUAAAACAUUGGUGGUAGGAGGAACGGUUUCCUAUUUUUAACCUACACAAACACACCCUGAAAGAGUUGCCCUUGAAGUGCUCAUCAAGCAGUUGAGUUGACAUCAGUUAAAUUCACAGCAAGAUCAUCCGAGUUGCUUUUCCAUACGUUUUAAAUGUGCUUGUCAGUCCCUGGGUGGUUAGUUCUCAAUUACAGCAACGGUUUGAGAAUGCACGGCAUUUGUCUUCAUUUUCUAGUGUUAUGUAUUAAGGUCUACAUGUCUGAAGUUGUCAAGAUAGGUAGAUAACAAUUCCAGAUAAAAUAAUUGUUGAACCUGCUUUACACUUAGGGAAAAACUAAAUAGUUUGCAUGAGUGAGCUUCUGCAAACUUAGAGGGAAGCUAGUACAUGGGGAUGGUCUCGUUAAAUAAUGAAAUUUCCAUGUGUAUUUGUUACAUUAUUAUUAUUAAAGGAUGAUUCUCAGAAACUCCAAUGCAAGAUGCUGCUAAUAUAAGAUUUAUGCACUUAAGGUGCUGGUUUUUAAGGGAUAUAGUCUAGGUUUAUUAGCCAGGAGCACAACCUGCUGUAUCUGUUUUUUUCAUGCUCGCUUUGCAAGGUGCUGUACCACAUAAAUAUUUAUAUGAAUUUGUCAGAGCUAAGGACUACUUUUCUUUGAAAAUAUGGAUGACUGUAGACAGCUCGGAAUGCAGGAAAAAUCUUUUGCAUUACAAAUCAGUGCCCUGCCACAGCAGAAGAGAAUUAUUUUGGUUUGUUCCAAGGAAAUUUUUGGUUUCAUUUUCAAACUUCUGCUUGGUUUUGUUUUUUAGUUGAGCAGCUCUCAAAAGUUAAGAUGAAAGACGCAUUGGCUAUCAGUUUUCAAUGGUAGGAAGGAAUAUGUUUAAUUUGCUUGAAAGUACUCAAAAUCAAUGAAGAUUUUAUGGCAGAGGUUAGUGAAAUCAGAACUGGCCCCAUUCUCAAUAUUUUUUUAAUCCCCCUUUUUAUCUAUAUGAAUGAUUUAACAGGGUUGUGGUGACUUUCCAAGUGGAUGGGUGGCAAAAUUUCCCUGGCUUUGCUCAAACUCUGAUAGGAACCCCAACUUCUCUAAGGUGUCAUUUCCUUGGGAGAUGAUGUGGAUCUGUCUAAGUUCUUCCUCUGAUAAGCUAUAGAUUCCCUUUAUGUAAUAAUACCUUCCGGGUAAGCUAAUGAUCUACUUUUCCCAGUUUGCCAGGAAGGACAGUAGAUGACAAUCCUUCUUUCUCCACACAUCUUGGGAAUGGGUAAUUUGUUGCUUUUUCCAAAAAGAGGGAGCUCUGGCCUUCACUCACCUCCUGAUACUGUUACAUGUAAAGAUUUUUCGUUCCUUCUGCUGGAUCUUUCCAUCACAUCCCUCAAAACGAUAAAACUGGCUAAUGUUAGUCCCUACCUAUCUUUUAAAAAAAAAAAAAAAUCAAGUUUUUUGUUUUGGUUUGUUUUUUACUAUUUCAGUAUAAAAUACAUGCUUUGGAAGGGGUGGGAUUUUCCAGCUUUAGUGAUAAACUGAGAGACCAUUGUGGUAUGAACAGAAGUUUUAGCAACAGAGUUGGGUUUCCAGUUAGGAACCCUAAAACUGGGGCUGAGGGCAAAGAUAAGUCAUAAAUUGAAUGAGGUUUGUUUUUGUUUUUUUUACUAGAACUAUGUAAACUAAAAUAGUCAAAUGGAGUGCAAGCGUGCAGUGGUAACUGCUAUUUACACCCAAGUGUUUCAAGGUGCUCCAACGCUGUGGCAAAGGGCAAUGUCCGUGGCUGUGAAAGGUACAAAGUCUGUUUUUACGGCCUCCAAGCAAGUAUUUGCAAUAAAGGCAUCAGAUAGAGACUGUAAUCCUUGCAAUAUGUUGUAAAUAUUACUGUACAGAAAUCUUAUAAAGAAAAACAGAUUGUUCUAUAAUAUGCAUAUUACUUUCCUAAGGGAUAUAGGCCUUCAUGUUUUGUGAAAUCAGCUGAACAUUACAUCGAUGGGGAAUAAGCAGAAACUUUCUCCUGGGAGCAGGCUGUCCUGUCAUUGCCUCCUGUGAAGUUUCUCGCAUCUGCUUUUGAGUCUUUUGAAAUGGAGUACUGCUCAGAUCUGGCUGUAGCAAGAACCAGAGGGUAGUGCUCAUUGUUACCCACAGAAACACGUGAUUAUUCAUCAGGUGAUGAUAAACAUAAGAGAGUGCUGAACCAACCAGAGUCAAGAUUUAGACUCACGCACCAAGAGGCGGGCACAGCUGAGCAUGCUAAAGGGAGUGUUGCCCUUACUCCUUCCUGUCAACCCAGCCUCUUCUUACAUCACUGUUUUUCUCAUUGAAAAUCCACACACGUUCUGAGGAAGAAAAAUUGUCUACAUUGGCAAAGAUUAAAAGCUGUGAAGGGCGAAACACGUAACCGGGACAACUUUCAGUAUUUGUGUGAUUCAACGGGGAAGCCGCCUACUUUGCACCAGGCUUUGUGCUGUGCGAAAUGCAUCCACACAGCUCGGAUCCCUCCCAGGGCUGCAGGACGGCGCUCUCUGCACCAGCACAGCCUCAAACCCCGCGUCCCUAACUGCCCACGCUGCUUGACACGGCGCGAACACAAACCGAAUUCAAAACCCGAGGACUGGAAAGUCCAUCUUCCACUACUGCCCCAGGGACACGUCAGUCUGCAGAAAUCUUGUCACCUUGUUGUGAUGGCACACAGAGUCAAAGAUGACUGCAGCCAGGGCACAGA